GCUGCGGCGCUGCGUGUCGCCGGCUGGGCUGCCGCAGCAGGUGGACUUCUACGCCCGUUUCUCGCCCUCGCCCCUCUCCAUGAAGCAGUUCCUGGACUUCGGAUCAGAAAAUGCUUGUGAAAAGACUUCAUUUAUGUUUUUACGUCAAGAGUUACCUGUAAGAUUGGCAAAUAUAAUGAAAGAAAUAAGUCUGCUUCCAGACAACCUUUUAAGAACACCUUCAGUUCAGCUAGUGCAGAGCUGGUAUGAUCAGAGUCUUCAGGAGAUCCUUGACUUCAAGGACAAAAAUGCAGAAGAUUCAGAAACUAUUCAUAGUUUUACAGAUACUGUGAUCAAAAUCCGGAAUCGACAUAAUGAUGUAAUCCCUACUAUGGCUCAGGGUGUAGUUGAGUACAAGGAGAGCUUUGGUAUUGAUCCAGUAACCUCCCAGAAUGUGCAGUACUUUUUGGAUCGUUUCUACAUGAGUCGCAUAUCAAUUAGAAUGCUCCUUAAUCAACAUUCUUUGCUUUUUGGUGGAAAAAUUAAAGUUAAUCCAGCUCACCCAAAACACAUUGGAAGCAUUAAUCCCAACUGUGAUGUUGUAGGAGUUAUUAAAGAUGGCUAUGAAAAUGCGAAGACACUUUGUGAUUUGUAUUACAUGAGCUCUCCAGAACUUGUCCUUGAAGAGAUGAAUGUAAAAUCCCCAGGACAGCCCAUACAAGUAGUAUAUGUACCAUCCCAUCUCUAUCACAUGGUUUUUGAACUUUUCAAGAAUGCAAUGAGAGCCACGAUGGAGCACAAUGUUGAUCGAUGUAUUUAUCCUCCAGUUCACGUACAUGUUACACUGGGAAAUGAAGAUUUAACUGUGAAGAUGAGUGAUCGUGGUGGUGGCGUUCCUGUGAGGAAGAUUGACAGACUGUUCAACUACAUGUAUUCAACUGCACCGCAUCCUCGUGUUGAGACAUCAAGAGCAACACCUCUGGCUGGGUUUGGUUAUGGUUUGCCCAUAUCACGUCUGUAUGCACAGUACUUCCAAGGAGAUCUGAAGCUGUAUUCCUUUGAAGGUUACGGUACAGAUGCAGUUAUCUACAUAAAGGCUUUGUCAACGGAAUCAAUUGAAAGGCUCCCUGUGUAUAAUAAAUCAGCUUGGAAACAUUAUAAGGCAAACCAUGAAGCAGAUGACUGGUGUGUGCCAAGCAGUGAACCGAAGGACAUGACCACUUUCCGAAGUAUAUAGUUGUCUGGAAAAAAUAAACAUAGCUUUGUUUUCAAGGGACUGUACACAGCUGGCUUAUAUCAAGUAUUUGAACCAUAUUUGGUGUAUGAAGAUCAUUUUUAGUAUGGAAUAAUACGAAGUUGAAUUCAGUAAUUUGUCACAACUGUUUUAAGGAAUUAGAUUUGCUUUUGUCAAAUUAGCUAACUAAGUGCACACUUAGUUUGCUCCUCCUGGUACCUUCAAUUGACUUCAGUAGCUAAAACUGGGAAGCAGUAAUUUGUAGGUUUUGGGGGGACCAAAACUACUACUUGCACACCUGGUUUGAAUUGUACAAUUCAUAAUUAAUAAUGUUUCCAUUAGGUGAAAACUGGUCAGAGAAGAUCUUUCAUUUUAUUAUGUACUACUGAAUGAAGUUCUUAAGUGAUGUGAAUACUGAUGUAUGAAACAAAAGUGUGUAAGCAGUGGUCCCCAAGUUUCACUGGCCCAUGGGUGACAAUACUGGGCGAGUAACAUAUUGGAAGCAAUCAGUGAUGUAACUGAGGUGGGGCAACCAUUGUGUACACUUGAUGUUGGGGGGAGGGGCCAAGAAAAAAGUGGCUGCUACUGGCAGCUAUGAGGUUGCAAGUGCAGUGGCAA